rnacentral:misc_RNA from 1 species
UUUCCGUAGGUGAACCUGCGGAAGGAUCAUUAUCGUAUAACCGAGGUGCGAGGGUUGUCGCUGACCCGAAAGGUCGUGCACGCCCGAGUGCCCUCACACACAUCCAUCUCACCCCUAUGUGCACCACCGCGUGGGUCCCCCUUUGGCUUGUUCGGAGGGGGGCUUACGUUUUCACACAAACUUUGUAUGCAGUGUAGAAUGUAUUUUUUGUUUUUGCGAUCACGCAAUCAAUACAACUUUCAACAACGGAUCUCUUGGCUCUC